rnacentral:rRNA from 1 species
GUAGUCAUAUGCUUGUCUCAAAGAUUAAGCCAUGCAUGUCUAAGUAUAAGCAAUUAUACCGUGAAACUGCGAAUGGCUCAUUAAAUCAGUUAUCGUUUAUUUGAUAGUACCUUACUACUUGGAUAACCGUGGUAAUUCUAGAGCUAAUACAUGCUGAAAACCCCGACUUCGGAAGGGGUGUAUUUAUUAGAUAAAAAACCAAUGCCCUUCGGGGCUCUUUGGUGAUUCAUGAUAACUUAACGGAUCGCAUGGCCUUGCGCCGGCGACGGUUCAUUCAAAUUUCUGCCCUAUCAACUUUCGAUGGUAGGAUAGUGGCCUACCAUGGUCUCAACGGGUAACGGGGAAU